AGUGGCGGACGGGUGAGUAACGCGUGAGAAUCUGCCUGAAGGAUGGGGACAACAGAGGGAAACCGCUGCUAAUCCCCAAUAAGCCGAAAGGUAAAAAGGAGAAAUCCGCCUACAGAGGAGCUCGCGUCCGAUUAGCUAGUUGGUGUGGUAAAAGCGUACCAAGGCGACGAUCGGUAGCUGGUCUGAGAGGACGAGCAGCCACACUGGGACUGAGACACGGCCCAGACUCCUACGGGAGGCAGCAGUGGGGAAUUUUCCGCAAUGGGCGAAAGCCUGACGGAGCAACGCCGCGUGGGGGAAGAAGGUUUUUGGAUUGUAAACCCCUUUUCUCAGGGAAGAAGUUCUGACGGUACCUGAGGAAUAAGCCUCGGCUAACUCCGUGCCAGCAGCCGCGGUAAUACGGAGGAGGCAAGCGU
rnacentral:rRNA from 1 species